CACAUUUAUACCGCGACGGCAGCUGACCCAGAUUGUACGUGUUAUAAGUUCUGAAGAUAUCUUCGAGCAUACCUGUCAACUCAACCGGAUUGUCCGGAUUACAGUUGUAAAGUCAAUUAACGCGUUGAGAAAACAAUCCGAUAAGUGAGUCACACAUAGGUGGCCUCGAGCUCGCACACGUACAUUUGACGGCGCCGUCAUCACCCUGAUGUGUAUGCUGAGAGGUUGACAGAUCUUAUUCAGAUAUCGAUCUCUAGUCAAAUGCUGGCUGGAUUCUUCAAGCAAGUUGUCGGUGGAAUCAAAGGAAUUGUGGACGCAGCCUCGGCCAACAUCAGCCCUUUUAAAGUACAAGUUGCUAAACCUGAGGAUCAUUCGGGCGCAGCAAAGAGAGAACAAAUGUAGAUGAAAUAGCACUUGCAUCCAAACAAUCAGAUUGUGUCUGAAGUAGGGAGUAGACGUUUUCCCCCAAAUUAACAUUCCAGCUUUCAGACAUUCAGAUUCCCAAUGUAGUACAUAAAGAUGAGAGGGAGAAAUAGAUAGAGGAGCUUCUAGAUGAGUUCAUGGUUCCAGUAUGCAUCAAAGAUGAAAGAUGCCAAGUUUUCUACACUUAACUCAAACUACCUGUACUUUAUGUACUGGGAAAUCAGCAUUUUGAAAAGAGAGAAUGUAAUAAAACGAAAUGUGUGAAAAGAUUGAUUUAAAAAAAGUCCUAAAUCAUACCAGAAGACAACAUAUGUUAUGCCUUGACAGCGCAGAAAUUAAUAGAUUAGGUUUGAGGUUUUUUGUCGCGCGUUACAGUAUAACCCGAACAGAAUUUUGCAAUGAUUCAAGGGUUAGCAGGUAUGAGUAUUGCUGUUUCUGAAUAAGUUCAGUGUUUAGCAAUUGCAUUGUAUCCCGCUAUUUUAAAGUGACGCCUUUCUGCAUUUUUCUCAAAUACUUGCGGUGCAAACAUUCUAUUCACGUUUAUCUUAGUCUUAACACACUGACAUCCUCGAUGAUACGUGGGUUGCGCUCUCUGCUCCCCUGUGAUAUGGCAGGACUAAAUCGAAGGGUAGAGCUUAGUGUGCGCCACCUUGUGUAUGAGACAAGACGACUAGUUUGGUCCUGUGAUGUACGUCAAAAGAAUCUCGCGAUAGCGGCGUAACGGUAAAAUUGACCAGAUUUGAAGCUACUUUCAAACUACAAGUAUCAGCCUUGCGAUUGGUCAGAUUUUUUUUACCAGAGACUAAUCAAAUAUAUAGCCGGGUACCAGACCGAGUUUCCUCUGACACUGACACCAGACUUAGAUAUUUUGACAGAAAGGUGUGGACCAGACAUGUCUGGUGUCAGGUCCAGAUGAAACUCGGGCUAACCGUGUACCUUCAAUUAUGUUAUGAUAUAAAAAUCACAGGGGUGCAGAGAGCGUAAGUUGGCGUAACCCCUGGAAUUUCACGAAUACUACACUUGGUGGUUACAAACAAGAAAAUUCAUUUUUUUAAAGGCAGGAAAUUUGAUUUUAUGUUUGAAAAUGGCCACUGUGUUCAUAAACAAUGUCGAUAUAUCGCUUUUUGACCAUAACAUGCUACAAGUGACAUGUUAUGUUGUGGCCGUAAUCAAUAUAAUGACAAACUCCGUAUGUGGUAUUUACAACUACCUGUUUAUUGCUACAUGGCUAUGGUGCCUUAUGAUACAGUUACAGAGUACAGGGUCAGUACACACCAGUGUAAUAUCCAUGAUCAGGGCCUUGGCUGAUAAGCCUUGACACGAUUGCAGUUAAUUAAAUUACAGGCCGGUCUCACAUGGAUCUUAUUACUGUCGUAAUGGAUAAUGACUGAACAUUGCAUGAGUGUUAAUUAAUUACCGCAAGUAUAUGUGACAAAAAUGCAUUCUUAAGCCUUUUAGUUACAUCCUAUUUAUGAAAUAAGUCACUCUAAAUAUCAGAAUUUAGAUUUUUUUCUGUUAUUCUUGAGUCUGUAAUCUACGGAAGCCCAUUAGUGCCAAAUGAAAACUUAAAUAAAAAUAAUUUGCCAAAGUGUUGGGUAAUUACGCAAUAAUUUGUUUUUUUGGAUUUCAUUUGAUACCAAUGGGUUUCCGUAGUAAUUAAUACUCCAUUAUCAAGUAAGCAUGUCACAAUAAAGAAUUCAUAAAAAGUGGUUUAUUCAUAAGAUUAAUUUAUGCUGAUGAACAUAAACAUUGCUACAGUUAGCCGAAUUAUUGUACACAUUUUGUAGCAAAUAAUACUUUGUAAACGUAGCUGUUUAAUAUGUACAUGAAUAACAUGAAUUUCGCCUGAUAAUCUGGAACAUAAGCACAUCUGGCGUGUGUAGGUGUGUGUGUUUGUGUGCUUGUUGUUCAUUCUACUUUAGUUUGUGUGUGUUUUAAAAAGUUGUCCUGUUUGCUACAGAUUUUUUGUUUUUAAUUCGUCUACGACAUAAUUAGCCUAAUCAUUAUACAUACACGACCCGGUAAACAAUGCAAUGCUACCGUAUAUCAAAUCGACGUUUGGUCUUACCACGGACUUGGAUAACAAGAAUAAGAAUAAUAAGAAUCGCCUGUUAACUUAGUUGUGUAUGUUUUCAUUGGUUGUACUUGCUUUGAAAUGAAACAAUCGCCUCGUUAUCAUUGUUAUAGUCAUUCUUUCAUCGACAUAAGUUUGAUUUGUAAUAAAUAACCGA